GUGCCAGCCGCCGCGGUAAUACGGGGGGUGCAAGCGUUGUUCGGAUUUAUUGGGCGUAAAGCGCGUGUAGGCGGUUUGUUAAGUCUGAUGUGAAAGCCCUGGGCUCAACCCAGGAAGUGCAUUGGAAACUGGCAGACUUGAAUACGGGAGAGGGUAGUGGAAUUCCUGGUGUAGGAGUGAAAUCCGUAGAUAUCAGGAGGAACACCGGUGGCGAAGGCGGCUGCCUGGACCGAUAUUGACGCUGAGACGCGAAAGCGUGGGUAGCAAACAGGAUUAGAUACCCUGGUAGUCCACGCCGUAAACGAUGAGUACUAGGUGUUGCGGGUAUUGACCCCUGCAGUGCCGCAGCUAACGCAUUAAGUACUCCGCCUGGGAAGUACGGUCGCAAGACUAAAACUUAAAUGAAUUGACGG
rnacentral:rRNA from 1 species